UUUGUGUUUGAGAGGGCGGGGUUCUAUGUCACUAUCUGGCUUUUCGAGGGCCUGGUGAACAAGCACGAUAAUCGCCAUCUUGGAUUCACAUCAGGAAAAAGCGAAACAAUCUGCCAGUCAUAACCACAAUAUUAGGAG